rnacentral:rRNA from 1 species
AUACGGAGGGUGCGAGCGUUAAUCGGAAUUGCUGGGCGUAAAGCGUGCGUAGGCGGUUUGUUAAGUCAGAAGUGAAAGCCCUGGGCUCAACCUGGGAACGGCUUUUGAGACUGGCAGACUCGAGUUGAGUAGAGGGGAGUGGAAUUUCCGGUGUAGCGGUGAAAUGCGUAGAGAUCGGAAGGAACACCAGUGGCGAAGGCGACUCCCUGGACUCAAACUGACGCUGAGGUACGAAAGCGUGGGUAGCAAACAGGAUUAGAAACCCUAGUAGUCC